rnacentral:rRNA from 1 species
UACGUAGGGGGCAAGCGUUGUCCGGAUUUAUUGGGCGUAAAGAGCGUGUAGGCGGCCAUUCAGGUCAGCUGUGAAAACUCGAGGCUCAACCUCGAGACGUCGGUUGAAACCGUUUGGCUAGAGUCCGGAAGAGGAGAGUGGAAUUCCCGGUGUAGCGGUGAAAUGCGCAGAUAUCGGGAGGAACACCGGUGGCGAAGGCGGUGCUCUGGGCCAGUACUGGACGCUGAGGAGCGAAAGCGAUGGGUAGC